rnacentral:lncRNA from 1 species
UGAAGCUUCGCUAGAGUCUCGUUUCUGUCCAUACUUUCGCCUCAGAAUGUCAGUUAUUGUGGGAAACUGAAGUAACCGACUUGAUUGUCACGGAGUACCGUUAUCCGCCACUUCACCGGGGUAACAAACUAAAGCACAUAAACAGAAAAACAAAUUAAAACACACAAAGAAGAUUAAAAUCGUCCUCUUAUUGAAUUUAC